GACGAACGCUGGCGGCGUGCUUAACACAUGCAAGUCGAGCGGUAAGGCCUUUCGGGGUACACGAGCGGCGAACGGAUGAGUAACACGUGGGUGAUCUGCCCUGCACUCUGGGAUAAGCCUGGGAAACUGGGUCUAAUACUGGAUAUGACCUCAGCAUGCAUGUGCUGGGGUGGAAAGCUUUUGUGGUGCAGGAUGGGCCCGCGGCCUAUCAGCUUGUUGGUGGGGUAAUGGCCUACCAAGGCGACGACGGGUAGCCGACCUGAGAGGGUGACCGGCCACACUGGGACUGAGACACGGCCCAGACUCCUACGGGAGGCAGCAGUGGGGAAUAUUGCACAAUGGGCGGAAGCCUGAUGCAGCGACGCCGCGUGAGGGAUGAAGGCCUUCGGGUUGUAAACCUCUUUCAGCAGGGACGAAGCGUGAGUGACGGUACCUGCAGAAGAAGCACCGGCUAACUACGUGCCAGCAGCCGCCGUAACAC
rnacentral:rRNA from 1 species